UUUAAAUGAGAUUCGUUCGGACAUAUAGCGAUCACAAUUUGGCCGUAAUAAGGAACAUAUGUACUCUGUGGGUUUGUUGUUGGGAUACAAGUAACAACUAAGUAAAUUUAAAUAAACAACAAUCUUUUAAUCAAGUCCCAAUUGUUUAUAUAAUAUCAUAUAAUGAAAGUUUAUUAAAUAAGUUUAAAGUAAAUUUAAAUCUUAUUUAUGAUUAGUACAGCUUUAUGAAUAAAUUGAUAGAUACAGUCGAUUUAAAUUAACACUUGAAAGUGUUUACUCUAAGACCGAAGUCUUUAUUUAAAGUCAAGGCUUGAGCCUUGUUGUACUGACCUAGACGGUACAGCACCGAACUAACUAUCAAUGGCAAGUUUCGGCUAUUUAUUUGCUUCCAGACAAUAAACAAACAAUUGAUUGGUUAUUCAUAAAGAUAAUCUAAAAAUCGAUUCGUUUAUUAUAAUGAUAAGAGCCAAUCAAAUCACUUCUUAUAUAAUGCACUUGGCAGGGCAAUCAAAAUGGAUGCCUCCAUGAAAUAAAGCGUUGUGGAAAAUUGACCUGGAGGAGGACCCACCAUAAGAUCUAUAGGGCUAUCAACUUCCCGACCAAGCAUCAAAAGAUUUGGGCUACAACCAGUACUGCUUUGCUGAGUUGAUCUGUAAGCUGCCAUCACAUAUGGUAAAUGGUCAUCCCAGUCAGAUUGUUCCUUAGAAACAAAAGAUUUCAACAUUUGAAUCACACUUUUAUUAGCGCGCUCUACAAGUCCAUCUGAUUUUGGAUUGUACGGACAAGUUCGAGUCUUAUCAAUACCCAAAAGACUACAAAUAUGAGAGAAGAGAUGUGACUCAAAUUCUCUCCCUUGAUCAGUAUGAAUUUGACUUGGAAAACCAAAUUGUAAAAAUACUUGUGUUACCAAUAUAUCAGCAACUGUAUAAGCAGUGUGAAUCGGGACUGCAAAUGCCAUUAUCUAUUUUGUGAAAUAACAGCAACAAACUAUAAUGUACGCAUUAUUCUGUUUUGUGAGGCGGAGAUGACCCAUGAUAUCUACUGCGAUAAUUUCCAUAGGACGGAAAGCUCUGAACUGUUUAAUCUCAGACUUCCCUUUUCCAGGACCAGGUUUGCACCUGGCACAAGCCUCACAUUGCUUUAUCCAAAGUGCAACAUCAUGUGACAUGCCGGGCCAAUAAAAUCUACGCUUCAUUGAUUCUAUAGUGCGAUCUCUACCUAAGUGACCCGAAUAUCUUUGACUAUGUAACUGGUUAAAUAUAAACAGCCUAAUAGUUUCUGGUACUACUAACCGUAAAACAGUAUUUUCACUAGUUUCAUAUGGUUUACAGUAUAAAAGACCAUCUUGAACUUCAAGAAUUUCCCAUUUUUGCCAAAGCUUAAUUACUUCACUAUGUAAAUAUAACAACUCUGAUUUUUCAGGUUUAAUGGAAAAAUUUUGCUUAAGUCUUAACAUUUCAGAAAUUGCAGCAUCCUUAAAUUGCAUUUCUUUGAGGUCUUGUUUAGACCAAUGAUUUAACCAGUUUGGCUCAAAAUUGUGAUUAUUGACAGUUUCUUGUCUUACAGGGUUAAUACAUGAAUGUUUUUCAGUUAACAUACAAUCUGUCAUUGAAUUUAUAUUUGUUGUAAUGCAAUGAGAUUUACAAGAUGAUACAUUUUCAGUAA